UACUCGAGUGGCGAACGGGUGAGUAACACGUGGGUGAUCUGCCCUGCACUUCGGGAUAAGCUUGGGAAACUGGGUCUAAUACCGGAUAGGACCGCACUUUAGUGUGUGUGGUGGAAAGUUUUUUCGGUGUAGGAUGAGCUCGCGGCCUAUCAGCUUGUUGGUAGGGUAAUGGCCUACCAAGGCGGCGACGGGUAGCCGGCCUGAGAGGGUGUACGGCCACAUUGGGACUGAGAUACGGCCCAG
rnacentral:rRNA from 1 species